GACGAACGCUGGCGGCGUGCCUAAUACAUGCAAGUCGAGCGAAGUUUUUCUGGUGCUUGCACUAGAAAAACUUAGCGGCGAACGGGUGAGUAACACGUAAAGAACCUGCCUCAUAGACUGGGACAACUAUUGGAAACGAUAGCUAAUACCGGAUAACAGUAUUUCUCGCAUGAGAGAUAUUUAAAAGUUGGUUAUGCUAACACUAUGAGAUGGCUUUGCGGUGCAUUAGCUAGUUGGUGGGGUAAAGGCCCACCAAGGCGACGAUGCAUAGCCGACCUGAGAGGGUGAUCUGCCACACUAGGACUGAGACACGGCCCAGACUCCUACGGGAGGCAGCAGUAGGGAAUCUUCCGCAAUGGGCGAAAGCCUGACGGAGCAACGCCGCGUGAGUGAAGAAGGAUUUCGGUUCGUAAAGCUCUGUUGUUAGGGAAGAAUGGAUAUGUAGUAACUAUACAUGUAAGAGACGGUACCUAACCAGAAAGCCACGGCUAACUACGUG
rnacentral:rRNA from 1 species